UACGGGGGGGGUAAGCGUUGUUCGGAAUUACUGGGCGUAAAGGGCUCGUAGGCGGCCAACUAAGUCAUACGUGAAAUCCCUCAGCUUAACUGGGGAACUGCGUGUGAUACUGGAUAGCUUGGAUUUGGGAGAGGGAUGCGGAAUUCCAGGUGUAGCGGUGAAAUGCGUAGAUAUCUGGAGGAACACCGGUGGCGAAGGCGGCUUUCUGGACAGAAACUGACGCUGAGGCGCGAAAGCUAGGGGAGCAAACAGG
rnacentral:rRNA from 1 species